GUGUCAGCCGCCGCGGUAAUACGUAGGGUGCGAGCGUUAAUCGGAAUUACUGGGCGUAAAGCGUGCGCAGGCGGUUUUGUAAGACAGAUGUGAAAUCCCCGGGCUUAACCUGGGAACUGCGUUUGUGACUGCAAGGCUAGAGUACGGCAGAGGGGGGUGGAAUUCCACGUGUAUCAGUGAAAUGCGUAGAUAUGUGGAUGAACACCGAUGGCGAAUGCAGCCCCCUGGGCCUGUACUGACGCUCAUUCACGGAAGCGUGGGGAGCAAACAGGAGUGGAUACCCUGGUAGUCCAUGCCCUAA
rnacentral:rRNA from 1 species